rnacentral:rRNA from 1 species
UACAGAGGGUGCAAGCGUUAAUCGGAAUUACUGGGCGUAAAGCGUGCGUAGACGGUUGCGUAAGUCAGAUGUGAAAGCCCCGGGCUCAACCUGGGAAUUGCAUUUGAGACUGCGUAGCUAGGGUGCGGCAGAGGGAAGCGGAAUUUCCGGUGUAGCGGUGAAAUGCGUAGAUAUCGGAAGGAACACCAGUGGCGAAGGCGGCUUCCUGGUCCAGCGCUGACGUUCAGGCACGAAAGCGUGGGGAGCAAACAGG